rnacentral:rRNA from 2 species
AAUGGGUCAGCGACUUAUAUUCUGUAGCAAGGUUAACCGUAUAGGGGAGCCGUAGGGAAACCGAGUCUUAACCGGGCGUUAAGUUGCAGGGUAUAGACCCGAAACCCGGUGAUCUAGCCAUGGGCAGGUUGAAGGUUGGGUAACACUAACUGGAGGACCGAACCGACUAAUGUUGAAAAAUUAGCGGAUGACCUGUGGCUGGGGGUGAAAGGCCAAUCAAACCGGGAGAUAGCUGGUUCUCCCCGAAAGCUAUUUAGGUAGCGCCUCGUGAAUUCAUCUCCGGGGGUAGAGCACUGUUUCGGCUAGGGGGCCAUCCCGGCUUACCAACCCGAUGCAAACUGCGAAUACCGGAGAAUGUUAUCACGGGAGACACACGGCGGGUGCUAACGUCCGUCGUGAAGAGGGAAACAACCCAGACCGCCAGCUAAGGUCCCAAAGUCAUGGUUAAGUGGGAAACGAUGUGGGAAGGCCCAGACAGCCAGGAUGUUGGCUUAGAAGCAGCCAUCAUUUAAAGAAAGCGUAAUAGCUCACUGGUCGAGUCGGCCUGCGCGGAAGAUGUAACGGGGCUAAACCAUGCACCGAAGCUGCGGCAGCGACGCUGAUGCGUUGUUGGGUAGGGGAGCGUUCUGUAAGCCUGUGAAGGUGGCCUGUGAGGGUUGCUGGAGGUAUCAGAAGUGCGAAUGCUGACAUAAGUAACGAUAAAGCGGGUGAAAAGCCCGCUCGCCGGAAGACCAAGGGUUCCUGUCCAACGUUAAUCGGGGCAGGGUGAGUCGACCCCUAAGGCGAGGCCGAAAGGCGUAGUCGAUGGGAAACGGGUUAAUAUUCCCGUACUUGGUGUUACUGCGAAGGGGGGACGGAGAAGGCUAUGUUGGCCGGGCGACGGUUGUCCCGGUUUAAGCGUGUAGGUGUGUGUUCCAGGUAAAUCCGGUUCACUUUAACACUGAGGCGUGAUGACGAGGCACUACGGUGCUGAAGCAACAAAUGCCCUGCUUCCAGGAAAAGCCUCUAAGCAUCAGGUAACAUCAAAUCGUACCCCAAACCGACACAGGUGGUCAGGUAGAGAAUACCAAGGCGCUUGAGAGAACUCGGGUGAAGGAACUAGGCAAAAUGGUGCCGUAACUUCGGGAGAAGGCACGCUGACACGUAGGUGAAGUGAUUUACUCAUGGAGCUGAAGUCAGUCGAAGAUACCAGCUGGCUGCAACUGUUUAUUAAAAACACAGCACUGUGCAAACACGAAAGUGGACGUAUACGGUGUGACGCCUGCCCGGUGCCGGAAGGUUAAUUGAUGGGGUCAGCGCAAGCGAAGCUCCUGAUCGAAGCCCCGGUAAACGGCGGCCGUAACUAUAACGGUCCUAAGGUAGCGAAAUUCCUUGUCGGGUAAGUUCCGACCUGCACGAAUGGCGUAAUGAUGGCCAGGCUGUCUCCACCCGAGACUCAGUGAAAUUGAACUCGCUGUGAAGAUGCAGUGUACCCGCGGCAAGACGGAAAGACCCCGUGAACCUUUACUAUAGCUUGACACUGAACAUUGAGCCUUGAUGUGUAGGAUAGGUGGGAGGCUUUGAAGCGUGGACGCCAGUCUGCAUGGAGCCGGCCUUGAAAUACCACCCUUUAAUGUUUGAUGUUCUAACGUGGACCCGUGAUCCGGGUUGCGGACAGUGUCUGGUGGGUAGUUUGACUGGGGCGGUCUCCUCCUAAAGAGUAACGGAGGAGCACGAAGGUUGGCUAAUCCUGGUCGGACAUCAGGAGGUUAGUGCAAUGGCAUAAGCCAGCUUGACUGCGAGCGUGACGGCGCGAGCAGGUGCGAAAGCAGGUCAUAGUGAUCCGGUGGUUCUGAAUGGAAGGGCCAUCGCUCAACGGAUAAAAGGUACUCCGGGGAUAACAGGCUGAUACCGCCCAAGAGUUCAUAUCGACGGCGGUGUUUGGCACCUCGAUGUCGGCUCAUCACAUCCUGGGGCUGAAGUAGGUCCCAAGGGUAUGGCUGUUCGCCAUUUAAAGUGGUACGCGAGCUGGGUUUAGAACGUCGUGAGACAGUUCGGUCCCUAUCUGCCGUGGGCGCUGGAGAACUGAGGGGGGCUGCUCCUAGUACGAGAGGACCGGAGUGGACGCAUCACUGGUGUUCGGGUUGUCAUGCCAAUGGCACUGCCCGGUAGCUAAAUGCGGAAGAGAUAAGUGCUGAAAGCAUCUAAGCACGAAACUUGCCCCGAGAUGAGUUCUCCCUGAGACUUAGAGUCUCCUGAAGGAACGUUGAAGACGACGACGUUGAUAGGCCGGGUGUGUAAGCGCAGCGAUGCGUUGAGCUAACCGGUACUAAUGAACCGUGAGGCUUAACCUU